rnacentral:rRNA from 1 species
GACAGAGGAUGCAAGCGUUAUCCGGAAUUAUUGGGCGUAAAGCGUCUGUAGGUGGCUUUUCAAGUCCGCCGUCAAAUCCCAGGGCUCAACCCUGGACAGGCGGUGGAAACUACCAAGCUGGAGUACGGUAGGGGCAGAGGGAAUUUCCGGUGGAGCGGUGAAAUGCGCAGAUAUCAGGAGGAACACCGGUGGCGAAGGCGGGUCUCUGGGCCGAUACUGACGCUGAGGAGCGAAAGCGUGGGGAGCAAACAGG